GCAUUGGUGGUUCAGUGGUAGAAUUCUCGCCUGCCACGCGGAGGGCCGGUUCGAUUCCCUGCCAAUGCA
rnacentral:tRNA from 1 species